rnacentral:rRNA from 1 species
AUUGAACGCUGGCGGCAGGCCUAACACAUGCAAGUCGAGCGGAUGAAGGGAGCUUGCUCCUGGAUUCAGCGGCGGACGGGUGAGUAAUGCCUAGGAAUCUGCCUGGUAGUGGGGGAUAACGUCCGGAAACGGGCGCUAAUACCGCAUCCGUCCUGAGGGAGAAAGUGGGGGAUCUUCGGACCUCACGCUAUCAGAUGAGCCUAGGUCGGAUUAGCUAGUUGGUGGGGUAAAGGCCCACCAAGGCGACGAUCCGUAACUGGUCUGAGAGGAUGAUCAGUCACACUGGAACUGAGACACGGUCCAGACUCCUACGGGAGGCAGCAGUGGGGAAUAUUGGACAAUGGGUGAAAGCCUGAUCCAGCCAUGCCGCGUGUGUGAAGAAGGUCUUCGGAUUGUAAAGCACUUUAAGUUGGGAGGAAGGGCAGUAAGUUAAUACCUUGCUGUUUUGACGUUACCAACAGAAUAAGCACCGGCUAACUUCGUG